rnacentral:rRNA from 1 species
AACGAACGCUGGCGGCAUGCCUAACACAUGCAAGUCGAACGAGACCUUCGGGUCUAGUGGCGCACGGGUGCGUAACGCGUGGGAACCUGCCCUUAGGUUCGGAAUAACUCCCCGAAAGGGGUGCUAAUACCGGAUAAUGUCUUCGGACCAAAGAUUUAUCGCCUUUGGAUGGGCCCGCGUUGGAUUAGCUAGUUGGUAGGGUAAAAGCCUACCAAGGCGACGAUCCAUAGCUGGUCUGAGAGGAUGAUCAGCCACACUGGGACUGAGACACGGCCCAGACUCCUACGGGAGGCAGCAGUGGGGAAUAUUGGACAAUGGGCGAAAGCCUGAUCCAGCAAUGCCGCGUGAGUGAUGAAGGCCUUAGGGUUGUAAAGCUCUUCUACCCGGGAUGAUAAUGACAGUACCGGGAUAAUAAGCUCCGGCUAACUCCGUG